GACGAACGCUGGCGGCGUGCCUAAUACAUGCAAGUCGAACGAGAGCAACCGGUGCUUGCACUGGUCAAUCUAGUGGCGAACGGGUGAGUAACACGUGGGUAACCUGCCCAUCAGAGGGGGAUAACAUCCGGAAACGGAUGCUAAAACCGCAUAGGUCUUCGAACCGCAUGGUUUGAAGAGGAAAAGAGGCGCAAGCUUCUGCUGAUGGAUGGACUCGCGGUGCAUUAGCUAGUUGGUGAGGUAACGGCUCACCAAGGCCGUGAUGCAUAGCCGACCUGAGAGGGUGAUCGGCCACAUUGGGACUGAGACACGGCCCAAACUCCUACGGGAGGCAGCAGUAGGGAAUCUUCCGCAAUGGACGCAAGUCUGACGGAGCAACGCCGCGUGAGUGAAGAAGGUUUUCGGAUCGUAAAACUCUGUUGUUAGAGAAGAACAAGUGCUAGAGUAACUGUUAGCGCCUUGACGGUAUCUAACCAGAAAGCCACGGCUAACUACGUG
rnacentral:rRNA from 1 species